rnacentral:lncRNA from 1 species
AAAAUAAUUGUUUAUGGCACUCAGCUUAAGCUGUUCUGGUAAUCACGUUGAAAAAUACAAUAUUUAUUCAUUAGAUCAAAUUUAAUGAGGCCUCCUGGCAGUAAUUAUAAAAAUUACUGUAGCAGUAAAUUACUAAUGAGUUGUGAUGUGCUUCCUACCUGUGAAGAAGGACUGGGGGUUGAAAAAGCCUGCUACCCAGAUGAGGAGGCGAGGGAGGGAGCCCUGCGGCCCGCGCUGCUCUCUCACCCAAGCAGGGAAGGAUCAGUGUACCCAGACCACAAAAGCAAACAAGAAAAAAAGACUUGAGGACACACAACCAGGGGGAUUCCUGCAGCCGUCGGAGCAGGAUCAAGAUUACAGCAUUCUUUUCCCCAAAGGUUCUCUGGCUUGCUCUGCAUCUGGGAAGUGAGGACUGUUGUCUAUAGGAAGAUUUCCAGUGGCUGGAAGCUUAUGGCUGAUGAUGUAACUCAGCACCAAGUUCACACCAAAUCCAGCAUUCCUAAUUCUAACAAGGUGCUCUUGAUCCAAACUUAGGGCAUUUGAGGCUCUACGUUCUUUCUCCCCUUCCUUUGUCAGCAAAAACAAGAGUAGGUCAGUAAACUGAAAACAGCGCAGAGAGGACAGCUUUCAGACUUGCUUAGUCAAAGAGCAGAGCUGCGUGUGUUGUGUUUGCACUGUCAGCCCACAAAAAAACAGAGAAGAUUUAGGGAGAAAGGAAGGCUAUUUACUGGAACAAAAUACACGACAGUUCACAUUACAUAUUUUCUUGAUGGACACAAAGUGACAUCCAUACUGAUUGACUGUCGGCAUGUGCCUCUCCACGGAGCCAGGUUCUGUGUGAUGGAUAAGCCAGUCUCUGGCAAGUGUCAGGAAGAUUAUCAAAAGAAAGAGCUGUCUGUAGUUGUUCCCUUUCUGAGGAGAUUGACAACUCACCCUAACAAAG